UCUUCUAUAGCUCAACGGAUAGGGCGCCGAGAAUCAGCAAUUCUCGGAGAUGUUGGUUCGAUCCCAACCCGAAGAG
rnacentral:tRNA from 1 species